rnacentral:rRNA from 1 species
UGGGUUUAGGCCCACGGCAAACGGGUGAGUAAUACCUAGGAACGUCCUUUAAGUUGAGGAUAUCCCAUCGAAAGAUGGUGCAAUACUCAAUGUGGUAGCAAUACUAAAGCAGCAAUGCGCUUAAAGUGCGGCCUGGGCACCAUCAGCUAGUUGGUAGGAUAAUGGCCUACCAAGGCUAUGACGGUUAGGGGCCCCGAGAGGGGAAACCUCCACACUGGAACUGCGACACGGUCCAG